CGAGUCCUGAUGUGUACGUUGUAACUCCUUGUUUUGACCGAACAUUUCUGAAAAGGGAGCCCGUACGUUUUCAUACAGCGUAAAUGCCUCCAUGGAGAGAGGACUUACAAAGUUUUGAAACAGGGCACCCACCUGCUCCAGAGCGGGUUCAAAACGAAGGCCUUAUCGCGACGGCACGAUUGGGACUCGU
rnacentral:other from 1 species